AAAAGUAUGAUGUCCCUAAAGAUGCUAAGGUAAAUGUAUUUAAAGUAUUUUUAACAAGAAGUCACCAAAGGUCUAAAACUCUUGAAACCAUCCAAAUCAAGUAAAUUGGUUAAUGACAGGUGGUAUAUAUGUGGAACCGGAGUUUUCACAUUGUUUAUACUAGUAUCUAGUAUUCAGUGGCUAAAAGUCUAAUACAAUUUUUUCUUUGAAAUUCUUAAACAUCUUUAUGGUUUCGGGCAAUUUAUUCUAUUCGUUUGGGUCUCCUUGAGUAUUUUAUCACCACUGCAAAGUACUCGUACUAAAUUUGUAAGUUUUUUAUUAUUGAACGACAAAAUAGUAACUACCACAUCGUGAAUAAAAUGAGUUAUAUUACUGACUAACUCUCGUUUCGAAAUGCCAUGAAAAUUUCGUUAUCACAGCAGUAUGGCUUUAUCGAUCAUACAAGCUUAUAACAGCUUCUAAAUACUUAAUUAUAUAACAAUUGGGUUAAUUUAGUUUUCUUAACCAACAAAAACACUCGAGAACUUAUUACCGGACAACUAACUACGGGUAUUAUCACUGACAGUCUGUAAAAACUCCAUACAUACUUCUCCUACAUUGACUUAGCUACUUUAGACUUGAUAAGAGAUAUAACAUAUGUCAACGCGUCAUUGAUUAACUACAUAACACGCCAAUUAUAAACUUCUCCCAAAAGAACUUAAGAAUUUCCAUU